GCAUGGCUACCGUUCCUUCUUCCAGAGAAUUAGUGUUGAAGCUUUACCGCCAAUCCCUUCGUCAUGCCGACAAGCUUGUUUACACGGACAAGAGCUUCUACAAGAUGAGGUUGAGAAAUGAAUUCCAAAGGGCAAAAGAAGAUAGAGGGAAAAUAUCCCUUCGCGACAUAAAAAAAUUACAGCAUUUUGUUACGAAUGAUUUUGGAGGCGUGAUAUAGAGAUCAUUUAUCCUAGUACAACAGUAGACUGAUGGUGAAUAGGAUCCCAACUGUGUCUUAGUCUCUUCUUGCUCGUUCCCUCUAAGGCUGUGUACUGUCUCGCAUGUUUCUCUCCUUCCUUAAAUAAGCUAUAUUAAUAAAGAAAUUACCAGUUCACACAUUACUACUGAUAUGUUAUUAUUAGAUCAUGUUAUGUCCAUAUAAAA